GGGCCUAUAGCUCAGCUGGCAGAGCCCCCGGCUCAUAACCGGUCGGUCCCUGGUUCGAAUCCAGGUGGGCCCA
rnacentral:tRNA from 1 species